UUAGAUGACUUAAGUACACUUUAGCCAGGUUAAUUUGGGUGGUUCUACCACACUAUGAACCCAAGAUCAGUAAAACCGCAAUCGGCGACCACAUCCUGGAAGGCAUUCAUCUGCCACGCCUCCCUAUCAUUUGCACCAAAAUGCUCCCCUCCAUUCAGCACCUCAUUAAAAUCUCCCGCACAUAGCCAUGGAGCUGCCGAUUGUGCAUGGAGAAAUCUUAACAGAUACUAGCUCUCCUUCCGUAGCUCCCGUCGUGGCUCUCCAUAAAAGCCAGUAAACCUCCAUUGAUGCACACUCACCCUCGCACAUGAGAGAAGGACAUCAAUGUGCAAUUUUAACAUACUCUAGAUUAACACUGUUACAUCACCACACCAGUACAGCACCA
rnacentral:lncRNA from 1 species